rnacentral:rRNA from 1 species
UACGUAGGGUGCAAGCGUUAAUCGGAAUUACUGGGCGUAAAGCGUGCGCAGGCGGUUUUGCAAGACAGAUGUGAAAUCCCCGGGCUCAACCUGGGAACUGCAUUUGUGACUGCAAGGCUAGAAUCUGGCAGAGGGGGGUAGAAUUCCACGUGUAGCAGUGAAAUGCGUAGAUAUGUGGAGGAAUACCGAUGGCGAAGGCAGCCCCCUGGGCUAAGAUUGACGCUCAUGCACGAAAGCGUGGGGAGCAAACAGG